AGUCUGCAACUCGACUACAUGAAGCUGGAAUCGCUAGUAAUCGCGGAUCAGAAUGCCGCGGUGAAUACGUUCCCGGGUCUUGUACACACCGCCCGUCACACCAUGGGAGUCAGUAACGCCCGAAGCCGGUGACCCAACCUAUUCUGGAGGGAGCCGUCGAAGGCGGGACGGAUGACUGGGGUGAAGUCGUAACAAGGUAGC
rnacentral:rRNA from 1 species